UUCAUUUUGCAGCCGGAGCUCCCUGCCCCUUUAGGGGCAGGGAGCCAGUGAUUCCUGAGGGACCCCUCAUCCCUCCCAGGGUGAGCUGUCCUAUGUGACCUCGGAGAACCAACAGCCCGAGCCCAGUUCCCCACCAGGCAUAAUGUGCUUGGCAAUAACAAAGAUCCAUGGCCUUCCUGAUGACACCCAGCACCUCAGAUUCUCAGCUGGCAUACACAGCGGAGUUGAUUUAACCAUCUAACUGCCACCCUGAUAUCUGGGGUUUUAUCCUGCCAGGUAAGCCCCUUCUCUGUUUACUGAGACUGACUUCUGAGACCCUGCUGUGAGAGGGUUGUGUUGCCUGCUGCGUGUUGCUGAUCUCUGUCCAAAGUACUUCCUGCACUUUCAAGGGGCCUGUGGGGUCCUCAAAGAUGAGAGGAUGAUGAGGGCUCAGGAAUUUGCCCAAGAUCGGCUACUAAGCAGAAGCCGUGGCUCCAUCCCAGGGAUGAUAGUUCUCCGAGGAUUUUGCCCUGUUCUCAGCAUCCAGACCUAUUGCCUGGAACUGACCGGGAGGGAGGAUGUCUGUUGCCCCGUGGGACCCACACCCGAGGAAUACCCGUGUGCACAGCAGGCUGCAGGGUGCUCGAUUGGAGGCCCUAAUGUGAAUGGAGCCUACCCUGCUCGUGGAGACCUUGGCAGUGACCGCCGUGGGCAAUGAGCCAUGGGCCAACAAUGUGAGUGAUGGCUAGUUUUGUUAUUUUGAACUUGGGUGGUUGGCUGGUGGGUGUUUAUUGCAUUAUUAAACAUGAUUGAGUUUGUAAAUAAAAUCAAAUAUGGCCAAAGCACUAGUCAGUGAUGAGACUGUCAUGGACCAAGGGUAAUUAAUCCAAUUAGGCAUAAUAAUUACCGAAUUAGAAAUGAUAUAGUAGGCUGUUCCCUAUGUAGAAAAUAGCAAAGAAAAAUGGAGCAUCUCAGGCUUGGAUGACAGCUCAAUUGGUAAUGUGCUUGCUUGCCUUACAAGGGCCUGUAGUCAGUUUCCUGGUACCCACAUACAAGAAAAUGGGCAUGGUAGCAUGCUUACUGUCUCAGCCCUGGGGAGGCAGAGGUAAGAAGAGCUCUGCGAUUCUCUGGCCAGCCACCCUUCAUUGGGAGUUCCAGGUCAGUGAGAGAACCUGUGUCACUAAACAACAUGGUCAGUGCCCGAACACCCAGGCGCGCCUGCACAAACUGAGCACACACAUCACAAAGGAAGUAUGUAAUGCUUAUUUCCAGACACAUGUGCCAUAUGUAUGUCAUAUGUCAUGAGUUACGUAUUUUUUUGUCAUUUGGCAGUAGUGUGUUCAUGAAUGUUUAUGUAUAUAUUAAAAAAUGGAUGCACUUAUAAAACAAAACAAACGGGCUAAGGAAAUUAAGACACCGUGACCUGAAGUUCUAGUCACACGAUUCUACUCAUUGGGUGACAUCCAAGCAGAAGUAGCUCAGCUCUGUAAACUGCUAAUUUGUGCACUGUGCCUAGAUACAUACCUGCUUAUGAACCAGGUCAGUUCAGAUAUGAUAGAGCUUUGUAUAUAGAAGGAUGUAAUUGGUAGUUUCUAGUUAUUGGCUAUGAUUUACAACUGUUAUUUGAUGAUUUUUUAUAAAUGUAAAAACAAAACCGAAUAGGCCAUCAAGGCUAAUAUAGUACAUCUAUUAAGCUUAUUAAUCAGUUCCACUGAAGUAUGCAACUCUGGAAAUGGACCCAGGUUGUACGUUUCCAACAAAUGCUUUCAAUUAUAUAGAGUGGGUACAUUGUAAUCUAUUUAGUGAUGUAAUACUCAUGAAGAUUUUUCACCCUUUUUUGAAGAUGAAAGGUACAUAAAAUGCGAGAGCUGAUGUUUUCAUGCUUUAAAACAAAUUUAAAAUUUGAUUUACAUGCAUGCCUGGUGCCAAUGGAAGUCAGUUGAGGGUGUCUGGUCCCCAAAAUGGAGUUACUGCUGUUUGUGAGCCACCAUGUGGUUGAUGGGAACUGAACCUAGGUCCUCUGCAAAGAGUAACAUGUGCUCCUAACUCUGAGCCACCUCUUUAGCCCCCAUCUUCAUAUUGUAAAAUCCUUAGCUAGAGAGUUCAAGAGGAUUCAUGAACAAGUAAGCAAAUGAAUGAAAAAAAUCAGCAAUAAAGGAAAGAUGAUAAAAUGUCCUGGAAAUGAAAAAAAAAAGUUUUCUGAUACCCCAGUUUUCAUUUUGAGCAGGGUUAGAGUUACCCAGGUCUUCAAGGUAUGAGAAUCUUUCCUGUCCUGCUGGUAGCCAUCUGCCAAUAGACAGGGGCUGCCUGCUGACUUGUUGGUCCUAUAAAAUGUCUGACCUCUGUGUCUUUGGGACUUGUUAGUAAUAAUCUACAACAGUUAAUCCACAUUUUGUUUUAGAGUGUCCUCCUCUGACUGAUAUAGUUGACGGUAACUUUUUUCUUGGUCAGGACCAAGAGAUCAGCUACCUUGUUAGGGACAAACCAGACCCAGCUCAGCCAAGACUCACAGGGCAUUGUUGCUAUCUUAAGAAGGAAACCUAGUCAUAGGUGUCAUGGAGGAAGUGAUGGAGCAUUCCUCUAUGUGCUAUGACGAGGAAGUAUCCCAUAAAAGGCACAUGAAGAUCCUCCUAGAAUCCUCUCAUAGCAGGGCUAGACUUUGUAGAUGACCUCUUGACAGAGACCUGAAGAUAAAAUGCAUAUUAUCAAGGAAUUAUGGUCCUUUAAAUUUUUUUUGUUUGAGAAAAUAGCCAAUUUGCUUAUAACCAUGCAAAUACAGUGGUAUGUUGGAUGUUAAUUUUAGUUCUAAAAGUAAAUAAUUACAUACAUGCAUAAAAGAAUGGAAAGCCCAAAACAUGGACUGGUGAGGAGAAUGGUCCAAUUAUGAAAGGAUUUUAAUUCAGUAAUGUACGCUUAACCACCAUAACAGCAGCCUGUUCAUUCCAUUCUCUUAACCAGCUGUUUUCGGUUUUAUUGUGUAUGUUACAUGAUUUGUUUAGACAUUUGACCAUAAGCAAAGUCCUAAGUUCUUUAUUUUUUGAGUGAGAAGUGAGGAGAAGAAGAUGAAAGGCAUUGCCUAUGUAAGAAGGCACGGAUGCAGUUUGAGGGCUCACAUUUCCUUAGAAACGCUCAGAUCUCAGGGAUGGAGAUUGCUCAGUGGUCAGGAGAGCUUCCUGUUCAGAUCCCAGCUCCCCUCUCAGGCAGCUCACAGUUAGCUGUAACUCCACUUCCAGGGGACAAGAUCUCUUUUCUGGAUUCCAAAGGCACUUGUGCACUUGUGUGUGUACACACACACACACACACACACACACACACAAAGACAUAAUAAAUCUUUUACAAUAGAAGUGAACUAAUCAAAUGAACGAGACUCAGUGUGAGCUGAAGAUGGUGGCGUUGUGACUCAAUCUCAAGAGCGAUCCAGGUAAGCUCGUUAGGAAGCAGGUAAGCUAUUGCUAUAGGGAGAAAGCAAAUCCUGGUCUUGCCCCAAGAAUCUUGCUGCAGAGGGGAGAAAGUCUUCAUUGAAGUGUUGAAUGCUUAAAAUAUGGCUAUAAAGAAUGAAAAAUUUCUUAUUCUUUGUAUUAUAAACUAGCCCGAACAAAUGAUUAGUGAAUACUAAAGGGCUGGGAAUGUAGCUCAGUGAGAGAAUACUUGCCUGGCAUAGCUGAGGUUCCAUCCUUGACCUUACAAAAUAAAACACUCCAGUCUACCUUUGGCAGAAAGAUGAUAAUAUGAUGGUUUCUGAUUAAUUCAGAUCAACAGAAGGGUAAUCCAUAAAUGAGAGACCUCAAUCCACCUCAACAGAACUCAAUCUCUGUAACAUACAGUAAGGCUGUUGUUAGCAUUUCAAGAGCUCACAUUCCUUUUCUACUACUGUUUAAGUAAUCUCCUGAUGAAAUUCAUAAUAGCUUGUUGUAUCAACUUUGAAUUCCAGACAAAUUAAGGGAAAGGGGGGGAAGACAAUGGGCAAUGAGUAUGGAUUCUUUAUGGUAACAAGAAGGGUGACUGGGAGCCAGACAUAGGGCCAUGCCUAGCAUCCUAGCGAUUUCAAAGCUGAGUCAAGAAGUUGGACCACAUCUUUGAGGCUAUCAUGGUAUCAUGGGCUACAAAGUAAGACAUUCCCCCCUCCCCCAAAAAAAAAAGAAAAAGUAAUAAAAACAAAAACGUUAGUGGAGUGGUGCUUACCAGUAAUACCAGCAAGAAUGCUGAAGUGGUUGGAAUCUGUGUGUAAGGCUAGCCUGGGCUCUACAGUGAGAUCCUGGAGAUGGAGAGAGAAGAGGGGAAAAAAAGGGGGGGGGGAUUACAUAUUACUUUGUGAAGUUAUUUUAUAGACACACCCUGUCCAGUAGACUGCCCCCUGCCACACCAAGCCAUUGGACUUUGAGUAUUUUAAUUGGGAUGUGGUCUACACCUAAAAUUUCUAAUGGAGCUCGUGUAGAUUGGUCAAGUUUAUUUACUUAUUUAGUGCAUCACUUACUCAGCCACAGUAAUACAUUUUAGAAUUGUGACAUAGAGUAAAAAGCAAUUUUCUUUGUUUUCAAACUCCUCAAUUGUUACUCUUUGAGAUUUAGGAGCAAUGAAUCAGAAUUCUCAACAAUUUCAUAAUUAUUAUUUUAAACAUUCAUCUAAAGAAUACAACACAAUAAUUUUUCUUGUAGUUACAAAGAGCUACAGCCUACAGAAAUAUCCAGACAAUGAAAUGUAAUUUCAUAUUCAAAAUCUCCUAGGAAGGUAAAAGCCCCUCAGGAACUGUAUGUGGAUACUGCCCCUUUCAGGACUCGUUUUGAAUUGAACCUUUGUUAGCUAUUGAGAUAGUAUUCAAAGGACUUACAUGAGCUCACCGCCAUGCGAGCUUUGUUAUUAUUCAGUCUUGUUUUCCUUUCUUUCUAUUUCAUUAUGCCUCCAUACACAAACAUAUUAUAUAUAAUACAGGUAUAUUAUGUAUAAUAAUACACACACAUUGUUGCCAAGACCUGCAUAUAAGGGAGCUUUUUUAUAUCACGUAAAUUACUAAUUGAAGAGGCCAAAUAAGAGCCAUUCUUUGGUUAAUCACAGGCCUGUGUGAAAGCUGUGGUUGGCUAGAUUCAUUAUAUGGAGACUAAGGUAUCACGAUGAUAGCUUAAGGCUGUUUUGCUCCUGAGUUUCCUAAAACCUGUAUUUUUAAAAAUUCUGAUUCUCCAAAAUUUAUAGCAAGUAUGUUAAUUGCUUCUAAAGUAUUGGUCACCCUUUAGAAAAAGAUUAUUGCAACUUACUAAAGCCUUUUACUUCUCAGAUUCAAUGCCCUGCACCUGGCGGUUCUUGCUCUGUAGGCUAGGAUGAAGAGUCUCAUGUAAGCACAGUGGUUCAUGGUGUGUUGAAUGGUUUGUGCCAUCCACGAGUUCACCUCAGAUGGAAGAAUGACAAUUGCCAACGGACAUAAAAUAAAAGUUCGUGCUUGAUUUCAUCAAGGGGAUGCAGCCACUCCAACUGAAUUAUCCUGGAAUGCCGAAGGUCUUGGCUUUUACCUCUGUGGGUAAGGAAAGAAGAAAUUUAUAAUGGUCACAGGCAGCCUUCUUACUCAGUUCUUCCAAGAAACAAAAUCUUGGCCGUUAGUUCUGCAUGUAAGGGACAGAGAGAACAAUGACCCCUGAUUUAAUUAUUUAAUUUGGAGCCAUUGUCCUGAGUAAGGAGCAUAGUCGAGAAUAAAGAAUGAGGAUGGCUGGUCUGGCUCCACCACUGCAUUGUGGGGAAGAUCUUGCCUGUUCACAGCUAGAUAAGGGGAAGACACUGAACACAGAAUCGAGACCCUAGCUGACUGAAUUUCGCUCUGAGAAGAGGCAUUUCCUGUUGCUGCUGCAGCUGAGUUACCUUUCUGUCUGCCUCAUGAGGUCAAUGGCCAGCCUAGGUUCUUGGGAGCACAGUAGGCCAUAAUGGACUCACAAUGCCUGAAUUAGUCAGUGUACAAUGGCACAGUUUCUAAGGAUUUCUGAUGUGGACAUAAGACCCCUAGCCUGAGAUCCAGUGGCUCCUGUCUGAAUUUAAACACAGGCCCAUGCUCAUAUACUCUAUACCUUCCUUCUAUGUUCACAUGAAGCCACAAGACCUGUGUGAGUAAUAUUCCAAAUUAUUGCUCUUGCUUUGGUCAGUUCCAUGCUCUAUGUUACUAUAGAGUAUAAAAUGUAUCCAGCCAAGGAUACCAGUGUAGGACAAAAUAAAAUCAUUAUUUCCCAUUUGAACUGUUAAUGAAUGUAUGUGUUUAUCAACAUGCAUUCUGUUGCUGGAGAAGAGGAAGUGUAAAAUGGGCCGAUGAUGACAGGGGUUUCGGGGUUAUAAGUCACUGACGAUGACUACAUCACUGGAGGUCUGAGGUCCAUAGCGUAAGAUGUCUCAAAACCCCUCUCAUGGUGCGCUUAAAUGUUGGGCACGUGCAAUAUAUAUUAGGGAUUAGAGUCACAAACUCUCAUCAUUUUAUAGUUGAUCAUUGAAUCGUGACAUAAAUAAACACCCAAAUGCAGAUAAGUUCUUUAGGGCAUUGAGCAAUUAUGAAAAAAAAAAUUUGACCACAUAUUAAGAUACAGCAAAAAUCUAUUUAGAGUGAAUUAGCUUAAAGGUUUAUAUCACCUUUAUCCGAGGUGAUCUAUACAGUAAAAUUAAUGGCUUAAGUCUUUGUGAUGGUCAAAGCCUUGAUUUUAAACACUACUUGAUUUUGUAAGAAAACUAUUACAACAAUUUGAAUCUCAAACAACAAAAGGAAAAAUGUCACAGUAAUUGGACACACUCUUUAUUAUCUUUGCUGCUUUGUACUCCCUGGAUGGACGCUGAUUAACACAUCAUUUCCUGGAUGAGAGGUCCAUGGCUGCGCUAUCCCUCUGUGUAAGGAGUUCAGCAACUGAUAAUGGAUACCCCAAGCUGAUGGACACAUUCCUCCUUAGUCCUGAGGUUUGAGAGACACUGUUUGUGUAUGCAGGAUAGAGACUGUAAAAGAUGCCCCGCAAGCUGAUUUCGUACAGUCUCACUUGGAAAUGAACCUCGCGAUCUAGCCUUUGUGUUUGUAGGAUAGAUAUUGUAAUGGAUUUCCCCCCCCCCAAGUUGAUUUACAUAUCCUGUCUUCAUUAUAAGCUUCAUGAUCAGUUCCUUGGAAUCAUAAUAUAGACACUCUAAUGAAUAACCCCAAGCUGACCUGUGCAUUCUCCCUUGAUCUGAGCUUCACAGUCUGCUCAUUGUGUUUGUAGAAUUGAUUCCAUAUAAUUAAUGGUGUGCAAUAAAAAGGACACUAAUCAUGGCAAAAAAAAAAAUCUUUGGAAAUCUUCAGUUUAUUCAAGGAUCUUCUCCUUAGAUCUUUAGUCGAUAGCCCUCACCCGAAGUGUAUAUUCUUCCUUGGCUGUGAGAGUCCUAAGAUAGACACAGUUGUCUGUAGUCAGUGUUCAUGCCAUGGUUUUGCUUACUUUGAAUGACUACACACAACUAUUGUUGAAAUGCUACUCGUCCUCUGGAAGACCCACCUUGCUCAAAUGAAUGGAUACCCCUCCCCCAGGCUGAUUUUUACACUGGCUUUUGGUUGUGAUCUUCUUGAUCAGCUGCUUGUGUUUGUAGUAUAGAUACAGUGAUGGAUACCGCCAUGUGAUUUGCACAUUCUCCAUUGGUCCUGUGCUUUGUGAUCAGCACUUGGGUUCAUAAUAUGUAUAUACAGUAAUGGAUUCCCGCCAGCUGAUUUUCUAAGUUGUCCUUUUGUUGAGAGCUUCGUGAUCUGCCACUUAUGUUCACAGACUAGAAACCGAAAUGGAUAUCCCCAUGCUGAUUUCUCCAUCCUUCCCUGGCCUUGAACUUUAUGAUCAGGUCUUUGAGUUGAUAAUAUGGACACAGUGAUGGAUACCCCCAUGUGAUUUGCACAUUCUCCAUUGGUCCUGUGCUUUGUGAUCAGCACUUGGGUUCACAAUAUGUAUAUACAGUAAUGGAUUCCCGCCAGCUGAUUUUCUAAGUUGUCCUUUUGUUGAGAGCUUCGUGAUCUGCCACUUAUGUUCACAGACUAGAAACCGAAAUGGAUAUCCCCAUGCUGAUUUCUCCAUCCUUCCCUGGCCUUGAACUUUAUGAUCAGGUCUUUGAGUUGAUAAUAUGGACACAGUGAAGAAGGGCUGAUGUUGGAUCGGUGAUGACCAGUGGUGGUGUAUGAUUCAUGGAUCAUGACUAAUUCUGGGAGCCUGAGGUCCACAUCAUAAAAGAUCUAGUAUAUACUUAUGACCUUAGUGAUGGAUGUUAGGAACAGUAUGCUUUUACAAUCAGAUAAAAACAUAAACAAGGAUGGAUACCCCCAUGUGAUUUGCACAUUCUCCAUUGGUCCUGUGCUUUGUGAUCAGCACUUGGGUUCACAAUAUGUAUAUACAGUAAUGGAUUCCCGCCAGCUGAUUUUCUAAGUUGUCCUUUUGUUGAGAGCUUCGUGAUCUGCCACUUAUGUUCACAGACUAGAAACCGAAGUUGAAAUUUCCAACCUAGCACACACAUUCUUUCUGGCUCGUGAGCUUUGUGACCUGUUCUUCUUCAUACUGGGAUGGGUUCCCCCCCCCGGGAUGAUUUCCCCACUCUCUCUUGCUUGUGGGCUUCGUGAUCAGCUCUUAGGGUUCGUUAUACUGACACAGUAAUGGAUAUUCCCAAGCUUGUUUCCCGCAUUCUCCACCACGACCUUUGUGAUCCACUGUUUGUAUUCAUAGGAACACAGAAAUGAAAAUCCCCAAGAUGAAUCCCACAUUCUCCAUUGUUCCUGAGUUCACAAUGUAAUAUAGACACAGUGUGAGUACUGCCAGCAUUCUUACAUCGGUUGGGUUACGGUGGCAGGCUGCUCCCUGCGUUGCUGAUCUGGGAAGCCCGGCUCCGGACCAACGUUAAUGCGGCAUAGUCAGAAUGAAUCCCACCAAGCUGAUUUCCAUACUCUCCCUUGGUCACGAGGCUCCUGAUCUUAUCUCUGCUCAUAGAACAGAUGCUGUCGUAGAUGCUUUCUGAUUACCAAGUCCACAGUUUCCUCCUACUCUGUGUGUCAGGAACACUGAGAUCAACGGCUCAGGGAACCCUAUGGAAGAGGAGGUGGAAAGACUGUAAGAGCCAAUGGAAAUGGAAGACACCAAGGAGACAAGGCCUUCUAGCCACAACAGGACUGGUGCAGAAAUCAAGUCAUAGAGACUGUGUCAACAUGCCCAGGACGUGCACAGCUCUAAGCCAGAUGGGGUCCUGGCACUGCAAGGGGAGGCGGACACAACCCCCUAUCUAUAACCCAGAAACUACCUUCCCUGAUUAACUCUCUCAAAGCAAAGACUAGUUUUCUCCAAUGGAGUACCACCGGACAUAGAGACCAGGACAUAUAAAGCAGACUCCAUGGCCCUGAUGGCGAGCACAAAAUGAACUCAAUGAGAUUUUUGCGCCUCACAAUGCUUUGAGUAUUUUUUUUUUUACCCUACUGAUAUUUUGCUCAUAUAUUAUGGUUUCUGAUCACUUUUCUCUGUAUGUGACUCAGCUUAUGGAUGUAUUCCUUGUGAUUUUUCCUUUGGAUUUCCUAUUUUGCUUUGUUUGCUUUGAUUUCUCUUCAUUAUUUGAGAUGUUUUUAUUCUAAUGUAAGAAUGAAAGAGUAGGUGUGGUGGGUGGAGAAAUGGGUAGAAUGUCAAAGGCUAAAUUGUAAUACAAUUAGUUUGUACAGAAUUGUAAUAAAAUUGGGUUUCCUCUAUGACUAAAAA